rnacentral:rRNA from 1 species
CUAAAAACCUAGCCCAACAAACAUGAAUUUUACUAAAUUAACUAAACCCUCUUAACAAACCAUUUUAACAUUCUAGUAAAGGAGAUUGAAAAAACUUAUUUGGAGCUAUAAAAACAGUACCGCAAGGGAACGGUGAAAUAUUAUGAAAAACUUCAAGCAGCAAAAAGUAAAGAUUACCUCUUGUACCUUUCGCAUCAUGGUUUAACUAGUCUAACCAAGCAAAACGUAUUUAAGUUUGACUUCCCGAAACUAAGUGAGCUACUUCAGGGCAGCUAGAAGAGCAAACCCGUCUCUGUAGCAAAAGAGUGGGACGACCCUCAAGUAGUGGUGACAGACCUAACGAACUUAGUGAUAGCUGGUUGCUCAAGAAACGGAUUUAAGUCCAACCUGAAAGUUUUAUAACCUAAGUUCAUCAAAACAAUCACCUAGCUUUCAGCGUAAUUCAAAUAAGGUACAGCCUAUUUGAAACAGGAUACAACCUAGCCUAAUGGAUAAGAUCAGCCUAACAUACAAUCAAGUGGGCCUAAAAGCAGCCACCUUUAAUACAGCGUCAAAGCUAAAUUGUAACCGAGCCCAAUUACUUAACCCAUAUCUUAAUCCCCUGCCAAUACUGAGUAAUUCUAUAAUAUUAUAGAAAUUUUUAUGUUAAAACUAGUAACAAGAAGAAGAUUCUUCUCUUAAAUGUACGUAUAAAUCAGAAAAGACAAGCUACUGAUACUUAACACCUCUGAGCAUAAAGUAGUAACUAACCAAGAAAACUCUACUUUUACUGGUGUUAAUCUAACACAAGAACAUUCUAAG